UUUGCAGAUUAGGUACAAGCUAGAUAGACAUCAAAAUCCUGAUGCAUUUACCUUUGAUUUUAAAAACAUGGCUGAUGGGCAACUUCACCAAGUGAAGAUUAACAGAGAAGAAGCCGUGGUCAUGGUAGAGAAUGAGUACGUAUUUAAGUUUAAAACAGCCAGUUCCAUCUUUUUCAUGGAUUCUGCCAAUUAUAGAUCCUUCCAUUAUGAAGAAGAGUAAAGCCAGCAAGUUAACCAGAGCGCAAAGAAACAAGUCAUCUUGUCCUCAGGGACAGAAUUCAACGCCGUCAAAUCUCUCAUAUUGGGAAAGGUUUUAGGAGAACAUGGAAUUGAAGGUGUUAAUGUUUUCAUUCAAGGAUGGUGUAUUCAAAGGCAUGUAACUUACGGUAUAAAAAUCUACAUUGAAAUUCAGCAACGAAGUAUAUACUCAGAAGCAAUUGAUCUCAGAAAAUUAUAAAUAUUCAUUUUGCCUGUCCUUGGAGGUAGAGAUAAUCAUCAAACAUUAAUAAAACACUUUAUACUUUG
rnacentral:lncRNA from 1 species